UGACAUUGGACCUCGCCCAGAAAAAAAGACUUACACUGAAACUUGAUGUGCUUCAAAAUAGAAGAUGUCAACUGUCUUGGCAGGCAGCCCAGUACAUUAAGUUCUAUGCCAGUCAAACACAUGAGAUGUACUGGGGAGUGUGUUAACUAUUUUAAACUCUGCUCAAUGUGAGGGCGGUGGUGUUCGUGGGUUGGAGGUACAAUUCCUCACGUCUGGAGUUCCCCUACUCCGUCCUGGUACAGAGCGUGAAAGAGGUCAUUUGGAAUGGAUUACCUCUGCUGGGGUUAACUCUCUUUACGUUUGCAACUGCUUCCUGGCACCUUCCCAAGAGACACAAGAUAUUCUGCAGUUGCUGGAAUCUGGAGCAACACACACAAAAAGUGCUGGAGGAACUCAACAGGUCUGGCAGCAUCUAAGGAGGGAAAUAAACAGUCGACAUUUCAGGUCGAGACCCUUCAUCAGGACAUCAGGAUUUCUAUUUGUUCAGUGAUAUGGUUCAGUCAUGAAGAAAAGAAAGAAAUCAAACACUAGGAUUGCCUGCCUUUUGGAGUUUUUUCAUCUUAUACUUUGCCAAGAAAACCCAAAGGAAAAUAUUUUCAUGAAGAGGAUAUGUGGAAGUUUUCUACAAUUAGAACAGGAUAUCAUCACUACCUGGCACUUAUGUGGAGUGAACGUUACUUGCCACCUAUCAGCCCAGACUUCCUACAGAGUCAAAAUCUCCAGCUAGUGAUAAAUGGGUUAAAUUUAUAGAACAUCUUUUGGACAACACAUCAAUAUUUA